rnacentral:rRNA from 1 species
CCUACGGGGGGCGGCAGUGAGGAAUAUUGGUCAAUGGGCGCGAGCCUGAACCAGCCAAGUCGCGUGAGGGAAGACGGUCCUAUGGAUUGUAAACCUCUUUUGUCGGGGAGCAAAAGACGCCACGCGUGGCGUUCCGAGAGUACCCGAAGAAAAAGCAUCGGCUAACUCCGUGCCGGCAGCCGCGGUAAUCCGGAGGAAGCGAGCGUUAUCCGGAUUUAUUGGGCUUAAAGGGUGCGCAGGCGGAAGAUUAAGUCAGCGGUAAAAGUGAGAGGCUCAACCUCUUCGAGCCGUUGAAACUGGUUUACUUGAGUGAGCGAGAAGUAUGUGGAAUGCGUGGUGUAGCGGUGAAAUGCAUAGAUAUCACGCAGAACUCCGAUUUCGAAGGCAGCAUACCGGCGCUCAACUGACGCUCAUGCACGAAAGUGUGGGUAUCGAACAGGAUUAGAUACCCGAGUAGUC